GUACGUGUACAUAAGUUAGCUAAGAUGAAAUGUGUUAAAAUUCAAGUAUAUGUAUUUCUUAUACUUUUUCUAGCACAAAAUAUGAUGUGUGUAUUUGACACCGCUGAUAUAUGUCCUACAUAUGCAACAUACCAAACUGAUACUCAGACUUGUGAAUGUGAUAGUGGUUAUAGAUGGGAAGAUACAAGUCAUUUGAAAUGCGUACCAUAUAGUACAACUUUUCCGGACAAUCCUGGAUUGGGGCAAGGAUGAUGUCAAAACAAGGAAAACAAAAUCAAGAAUUAUUUAUUGCUCCAGAUUUCAUCUGUAA